CUCCAGUUGUUAUUGGCAUAU
ensembl:piRNA 21ur-2980 ncRNA